rnacentral:misc_RNA from 1 species
AAAUCAACUGCUUUGGGAUUUUUUUUUUCCUGGUAAGGCAACAAUGCAAUUUACGUGAUAUUUGUAGAAAAAGCUUUGGUGCAGCAACUUAUUUUCAUGUGAUUUGCUGUCGCAAGUUGGUUGCAAGUCAUAAAAUCCUGGAGCUGGAGGAGACAGGUUGAAUUGAUCUUCGGGCUUUUUUCAAUUUUUGACUUGUUGAAGUUGGUAAAAUUGGAGAGAAGACACAUGGACGCAUUUGGCCAGAAAUCUCUUGAAAUGGUAGUGUUACAGAGAGCUCUGCAAAUGGGUAGUUCUUUUCCAUGCCAAAUUUGUGUGGUGGGUUUUCUUUGUGGGGUCUGUCUCACCUCCUUGUUUCUUGCUGUUCUUACUUCGAUGGCGACUUUUGAGUUUGGUGGGAUCUCAUUUUCUGCCAUUUCACUGGGGAUUUCACCACCAAGGAAUUCAAGUUCUGAAAUUAUCAGUGUGGUUACAAGUACAGAUUGCAAACUUAAACCAAUGGAAACAGAGAGAUGGGAUAAUCCACAGAGAAGUAGAAAUGAGGUCGAUGAUGAGAGAAUCUCAUUGGUAUAUGCAGCUUGAAGUGCAUCAUUAUCUGAAUCGGCAGACGAAGUAAGUGAAUUCUUGCAGAGUCAUGGACUUAGCAAGUCUGCUGUACCUACUGCGCCUCAUUUGGAGAACUGUAAAUUGAGUGCAAAAGUAGGCGAACGUCUUGACAAGCGUGCCGGAAAUGAGAGCUUCCCUCCUUGGACAACUUGGAAUGGACUACUAGACAUGCACCCAGCAUCCACAGCCAAUGAGCAGCAUAGGUACUUUAGGCAUCAGGCUAUGUCAGACGAUGCUUAUCCUCCCUGGGUAUGUUUCCAAGUUAUAUAAUCCAAUAUUGAAUGUGAUGCAGUUGAAUAUGAACUUAGAAGACUGCUAGAUAUGCAAUCUUCAGGUAUCCUCAAAAUGUUUGACGAAUGGAAAUUUGUUUAUUUAUUUAUUUUCUCAGAUUACUGGAUCAGAUGAAGACAACUACCCUCUUACUAGGAAAGUGCAGCGUGACAUAUGGAUCAUGGUUUCAAAAAUGGUCAUUACGUUACAUAAAGGCCAUUAUUUAUAGGUUUUUUGAACUUUCGUGACCAUUACACCCAUUAAAUAAUGGGUUUUAAAAAUUGUAGCUACCACGAUCGUUACAGUCGUUCCGUAGCCGUUACCUGCUGUUACUAGCCGUUACCUGACCUACUUUGUAUUUCCAGCUUUAUUUCACAUCUACUUUACCUCUAUGGCUGACUCCAUUCACGUGAAAUUGAAACUGAUCUGCUGCAGUGGGAUUUUUUCUUCUUUGGCUUAUUAAAUUAUUAUGUUAAAAGGCAUAUAUUCUCUCUUUUUCUCUCUUUAUUUUCAGUUUUCACUAGUCAUUCAAUAGCCAUUUGUUGUCACUCAAAUACUCAAAGUCUCAACUUUCUCUCAAGUCUCUAGUCUCAACCAUUUUCUCACGAUUCUCAAACUCAACAUUCUCUCAUUUUUUUUUUCUCAUAUCCAUAAUCGAAUCUACUGAAGUGAAGGCCUUCAACUUCAAUCCUCUAUAAAGUUUUGAGUUCAAGAGCAUCAAAAGUGAGUUAAUGCUUAUUUUCUCUAAUUCUUAAAACUUUUUUUAAUCAUUUUUAAGUAAAUACAUAAAUACUUAGAAAAUAAUAUCAAAGAAUUUAAUUGAUAUAUUUAUGUGUAAAUUAGUAAAUACUACACAAAUCAUUUUUAGGUAAUGCAUGAUUGCAUUAAAUUAUGUGUAAAUUAGUACCUCCUAAAUACUCAUUUUGGUGACAAUAAAGUUAGUUAUUUACCAUCUAACUGGCUAUUUUUAUUUUAAAUUGAUUAAUAUUAAUGAUGUAUAAAAAUAAUGAAUUUAAUGUCUUUAUAUGAUAUAUUUAUGCUUAUUAUGUAGUUGUAUAUCUUAGUUUUAAUU